AGCCCAGCUGUGCUGCAGGCUCAGGAGGCAGAGCUCUGGGUGUCUCACCAUGGCCUGGACCACACUCCUGCUCCCACUCCUCACCCUCUACACAGGCUCUGUUGCCUCCUAUGAGCUGACACAGCCACCCUCGGUGUCAGUGUCCCCAGGACAGACAGCCAGGAUCACCUGCUCUGGAGAUGUACUGAAGGAAAAUUAUGCUGACUGGUACCAGCAGAAGCCCGGCCAGGCCCCUGUGCUGGUGAUAUAUGAAGAUAGUAAGCGACCCUCUGGAAUCCCUGAGCGAUUCUCUGGGUCCACCUCAGGGGACACAAACACCCUGACCAUCAGCAGCAGCCUGAGUGAAGACGAGGCUGACUAUUACUGUUUUUCUGGGAAUGAGAACAAUCCCACAGUGACACAGGCAGAUGGAGAAGCAGAAUACUCAAACUUCGUGUUCAUAUUUGAUGGUCAGGUGUCUCCAGCCAGCAUUUCUAAACCAGGAUCCUUUGUCAAGUCUUGUGAAGAGUUUUGUAAAAAGAGUCACCACCAACCCACGCUGGCCCUAUAUUUGUAUCCAGAACCUGUCAAAGCCACUCGUGAGUCCUGCAUCCCUCAGUACCAAGGCCCAAUCCCCCUUCAGGACCACCCACCACCCAGAGAGACGUGCAAGGAGCCUGAGAAAGAACCUGAAACCUCCACUACUACAUAA